AUUGAACGCUGGCGGCAGGCCUAACACAUGCAAGUCGAACGCGUGGCGGACGGGUGAGUAAUGUCUGGGAAACUGCCUGAUGGAGGGGGAUCACUACUGGAAACGGUAGCUAAUACCGCAUACCAUCAGAUGUGCCCAGAUGGGUGUAGCUUGUUGGUGGGGUAACGGCUCACCAAGGCGACGAGCCCUAGCUGGUCUGAGAGGAUGACCAGCAAAACUGGAACUGAGACACGGUCCAGACUCCUACGGAAGGAAGCAGUGGGGAAUAUUGCAAAAUGGGCGCAAGCCUGAUGCAGCCAGGCCGCGUGUAGGAAGAAGGCCUUCGGGUUGUAAAGUACUUUCAGCGGGGAGGCGUUACCCGCAGAAGAAGCACCGGCUAACUCCGUGCCAGCAGCCGCGGUAAUAC
rnacentral:rRNA from 1 species